CGGACGCUGGCAGUGGCUGGUAGGGAUUGAUCCGCCCCCCGGUGUAUCGGAGGAUGAAAGUGUGACAACUUAUUUCAGUAAUUAAUCAAGGACCUCCAGGAUGUUGGGUGGUCUGUUUAUAUAUAACCAUAAGGGGGAGGUGCUCAUAUCCCGUGUAUAUCGGGAUGACAUUGGACGUAAUGCAGUGGAUGCAUUCCGAGUGAAUGUGAUUCAUGCACGACAGCAAGUGCGCUCCCCUGUCACAAACAUUGCACGAACCAGUUUCUUCCAUAUAAAGCGUGCCAACAUCUGGGUUGCUGCAGUCACCAAGCAAAUGUUAAUGCUUCACAGGUGUUUGAGUUCCUCCU